AGGAAGGGGGAAGAUAUUAAUUAUAUAGAGAAGAAAUUUUUAAUCAGAAGAAGUUUGAUUUGAAUUGGGAUAGUAAAGGUUACAACCAAGUAGCAGAGCCUGCAGGAAGCACUGUGUGGCAUCUCAGAGCGUCAAGGUAAAAGGUCACUGAAGCUCUAAUCAUAAACUCUCUAAAGCAUUUCUCAGAGCUUCUGUAACUCCUCCUGGAAGAGCAAUGGAAACAGAAACGACCAACAGACCUUGAGAAUGACCAGGAUAACGAACUGAGUGAUUGCUGCGCUGCGGCAGCUCUCACUUUGUUCUCCGUAAAGUCGGUAACAACAACGAGGAUCUCAGUAUCAGCAGGGGAGCUGCGCCCAAAUAAUUAUACAAGUUGCUGUGCAUUUCAGCCAUGAGCAAGAGUUUAUGCUGAAGCUGUGAGUUUUCCCAAGAGAGCAGAGACGUGACACGUGUACCAGAUGCAAGCACACAGUGUGGAAAAAGUGGAGAACUGUGACCUAUUGUACCACCUAUAAAUGAAAAGU